GACGAACGCUGGCGGCGUGCCUAAUACAUGCAAGUCGAACGCAGUGGGGACGGGUGAGUAACACGUGGGUAACCUCCCAUCAGAGGGGAUAACACUUGGAAACAGGUGCUAAACCGAUACUGAUGGAUGGACCCGCGGUGCAUUAGCUAGUUGGUGAGGUAACGGCUCACCAAGGCCCCGAUGCAUAGCCGACUGGGGGGGGGGAUCGGCCACACGGGGACGGAGCAAUGGCCCAGACUCCUAGGGAAGGCAGCAGUAGGGAAUUUUCGGCAAGGGAGGAAAGUCUGACCGAGCAACGCCGCGUGAGUGAAGAAGGUUUUCGGAUCGUAAAACUCUGUGGUUAGAGAAGCGGUAUCUAACCAGAAAGCCACGGCUAACUACGUGCCAGCAGCCGCGGUAAUAC
rnacentral:rRNA from 1 species